AUUGAACGCUGGCGGCAGGCCUAAACACAUGCAAAGUCGAGCGGUAACAUUUCUAGCUUGCUAGAAGAUGACGAGCGGCGGACGGGUGAGUAAUGCUUGGAAAUCUGCCUGGUAGUGGGGACAACAAGUUGGAACGAACUGCUAAUAACCGCAUAACCUCUUCGGAGCAAAGUGGGGGACCCUCGGGCCUCACGCUACCAGAUGAGUCCAAGUGGGAUUAGCUAGUUGGUGAGGUAAGGACUCGCCAAGGCGACGAUCCCUAGUUGGUUUUGAGAGGAUGAUCAGCCACACUGGAACUGAGACACGGUCC
rnacentral:rRNA from 1 species